UUUAAAUAAUCGAUUAAUUUUUAAUUAUAUAAGGUAUUAAAUGGUAAAUCAUUAAAUUAAGAAAAUUUGGCGGUAUUUUUAAAAAUUAGAGGAAUUUGUGGUGUAAAUGAUAAAACACGAUAAGAUAAACUUUAUUUAAUAUUUAUGUAUUGCUGUUUAAUUAAAUUUAUUGAGUAAAUUUUUUAAUAUUUAAUUUUGAAAAUAAUUCAAGUCAAAAUGUAGUGUUAUGAAGAAUUUUAUGAAUUACAAUUUUUUAUAUAUUUGAUUUUAUUUUUUAAAUUUUAAUUAAAAUUGGAUUUAAAAGUAAAAUAGAUUAAUUAAUUUAUUUGAAUAUUUUUAAAAAUAAGU
rnacentral:rRNA from 1 species